UGUUCAACUCUCAGGACUAUAAACUCUCCCAGAGCACUGGAGCAUGGUGCUGCUGAUGCAAAGUGGCUCUCUAUGGAAAUGCUCAGACUGACUCCAACAGGGACUUGGAUUACUCUGAGGAUGCUGUUUCUCUACGGAUCAAUCACUUUAUCAGAGGAUUGAUUCAGAAUGUGUCAGGAAGCAUUUUAAUGUGGAUUUGACUCCAUCACUGUGGAGACAUUUCUUAUAAGAACUUCUCUGUCUCGUUUCAUUUAUUGUUGGAGGGAUCAAUUUCACUUUCAGACAAAUUUAACAAUAAAUCUGUAAAUAUGUGACUAAUUCUUUACAAUUGUGGCAGUGCUUAAUACAUAUACAGUGAAAUAGUAAAUUCUUAUAACAACAGGAAGUGUGUUUGUUGAGUUUGUUGUGUUCAAAGUCAGAGAGCCGUGUCUCUCUACAGUGAGAGGUUUUUGUACGACGGCUCAAUCAGUUUGUAUCACUGUGGUACACGUUUGGUGGAGGAACCAGACUGGAUGUUGGAAUGGGUGAUGUGCGUCCCACCCUGACGGUGCUGCCCCCCUCCAGUGAAGAGCUGGAGCAGGGGAAGGCCACGCUCAUGUGCCUGGCCAACAAGGGCUUCCCCUCAGACUGGAGUCUGGCCUGGAAGGUGGACGGCAGCAGCAGCAGCAGCAGCAGCAGCAGCUGGGAGGAGAGCAGGAGCCCCGGGGUGCUGCAGAAGGACGGCCACUACAGCUGGAGCAGCACCCUGAGGCUCCCUGCAGACCAGUGGAGGAAGGUGGACUCUGUGACCUGUGAGGCCACCCAGGGCUCCCAGACUCCACUCUCAGAGACACUGAGGAGAGACCAGUGUUCCCAGUCCUGAGCUGACUCACUGGCAGGGACUCUGCUACUGGUUUUACUCUGACACUGCUCUCACUCUGCUCUCUGCAACUAGCUCUGGCUUUUAUUUCACCUGUUUCAACAGACAUAUUUACCAGCUUGUUGUAAUGUUUCAAUAUUAUUUCAGUGUUUCCAGAUAAUAAAGACGUAUUCAUCAAAUUAA